UAGUGUUGGGUAUGAGUAGGGAUGUUCGAUUGUUUCGACCAAUGCUACAGUCGUUUAAUCGAUUAUUUUUUUUUAAAGAAGUCGCCACAUAAUAUAACCGAUUAAUCGAAAUACGACUGUACAUUGUAAAAUACUAAAAUGUAUUAGGUAAUGUAUUAGGUAAUACUAAAAACAUAAAUAAUUUCAGGUAUAAAGAAACUAAUACCAAAUCGAAAUACUUAUCAUGUUCAAGUUUACAUGGCUUUAUGUUCUUUUCAUAUUAGCAAUGUUUGUGUCUUCAUCAUUUUGUAUGGACAUAUUUAAAGCCCAAACGUCGUUGAAUAUGGUCAACAAAUAUUCUAAUAAUUUUCGACCGAUUUUACAAUUUGAAGAUGAAAGUUCAUUAGAUGAAUCAGCAUCCGUAUAAAUAAUUAUGAAAUAAUAAGAUACCGUAAAUUUUUAAUUUGCCUCUUAUGGAAAAAUCAAAUCAAUGGAUGUACGGUGUACCUAAUAGAAAAGUUAAUUCAACACAACGAUAUUAAUAAUGUUCUGUAAUAGAAUUAUAAAAAAAUAUAUAUUUACCCAAAAAUAAACUUGAUUAAUAAUUAUUAUGAAA